CCCAGCAGGACGGGAGCG
rnacentral:miRNA from 1 species